rnacentral:rRNA from 1 species
CUGUGAGGGCUGCUGGAGGUAUCAGAAGUGCGAAUGCUGACAUAAGUAACGAUAAUGCGGGUGAAAAACCCGCACGCCGGAAGACCAAGGGUUCCUGUCCAACGUUAAUCGGGGCAGGGUGAGUCGACCCCUAAGGCGAGGCUGAAAAGCGUAGUCGAUGGGAAACAGGUUAAUAUUCCUGUACUUGGUGUUACUGCGAAGGGGGGACGGAGAAGGCUAGGCUAGCCGGGCGACGGUUGUCCCGGUUUAAGCAUGUAGGCGGAGUGACCAGGUAAAUCCGGUUGCUUAUCAACGCUGAGGUGUGAUGACGAUGCACUACGGUGCAGAAGUAGUUGAUGCCAUGCUUCCAGGAAAAGCCUCUAAGCAUCAGGUAACAUGAAAUCGUACCCCAAACCGACACAGGUGGUCAGGUAGAGAAUACUCAGGCGCUUGAGAGAACUCGGGUGAAGGAACUAGGCAAAAUGGUGCCGUAACUUCGGGAGAAGGCACGCUGGCAUUAGGUAAAGGGACUUGCUCCCGGCGCCGAAGCCAGUCGCAGAUACCAGCUGGCUGCAACUGUUUAAUAAAAACACAGCACUGUGCAAACACGAAAGUGGACGUAUACGGUGUGACGCCUGCCCGGUGCUGGAAGGUUAAUUGAUGGGGUCAGCCGCAAGGCGAAGCUCUUGAUCGAAGCCCCAGUAAACGGCGGCCGUAACUAUAACGGUCCUAAGGUAGCGAAAUUCCUUGUCGGGUAAGUUCCGACCUGCACGAAUGGCGUAAUGAUGGCCAGGCUGUCUCCACCCGAGACUCAGUGAAAUUGAACUCGCUGUGAAGAUGCAGUGUACCCGCGGCAAGACGGAAAGACCCCGUGAACCUUUACUAUAGCUUGACACUGAACAUUGAGCCUUGAUGUGUAGGAUAGGUGGGAGGCAUAGAAGUGUGGACGCCAGUCUGCAUGGAGCCAACCUUGAAAUACCACCCUUUAAUGUUUGAUGUUCUAACUCGGCCCCGUAAUCCGGGGUGAGGACAGUGUCUGGUGGGUAGUUUGACUGGGGCGGUCUCCUCCCAAAGAGUAACGGAGGAGCACGAAGGUUAGCUAAUCACGGUCGGACAUCGUGAGGUUAGUGCAAAGGCAUAAGCUAGCUUGACUGCGAGAGUGACGGCUCGAGCAGGUACGAAAGUAGGUCUUAGUGAUCCGGUGGUUCUGAAUGGAAGGGCCAUCGCUCAACGGAUAAAAGGUACUCCGGGGAUAACAGGCUGAUACCGCCCAAGAGUUCAUAUCGACGGCGGUGUUUGGCACCUCGAUGUCGGCUCAUCACAUCCUGGGGCUGAAGUAGGUCCCAAGGGUAUGGCUGUUCGCCAUUUAAAGUGGUACGCGAGCUGGGUUUAGAACGUCGUGAGACAGUUCGGUCCCUAUCUGCCGUGGGCGUUGGAAGAUUGAGAGGGGCUGCUCCUAGUACGAGAGGACCGGAGUGGACGAAUCACUGGUGUUCGGGUUGUCAUGCCAAUGGCAUUGCCCGGUAGCUAAAUUCGGAAGAGAUAACCGCUGAAAGCAUCUAAGCGGGAAACUUGCCUCGAGAUGAGUCUUCCCUGGGGCUUUAAGCCCCCUGAAGGAACGUUAAAGACGAUGACGUUGAUAGGCUGGGUGUGUAAGUGCAGCGAUGCAUUGAGCUAACCAGUACUAAUGAACCGUGAGGCUUAACCUU